rnacentral:rRNA from 1 species
CUGACCGUAAACUAUGCCAUCUAGCGAGCAUCGGGUGGAUUCUUUUGCCCUUGAUGCGAGCUUUCCGGAAACGAAAGUCUUUCGGUUCCGGGGGAAGUAUGGUUGCAAAGCUGAAACUUAAAGGGAUUGACGGAAGGUCACCACCAGAAAUGGGGCCUGCGGUUUAAUUUGACUCAACACGGGAAAACUCACCCGGUCCGGACACUAUAAGGAUUGACAGACCGAUAGCUCUUUCAUGAUUUGGUGGUUGGUGGUGCAUGGCCGUUCUUAGUUCGUGGAGUGAUUUGUCUGGUUGAUUCCGAUAACGAACGAGAUUAUAGCCUAGUUAAAUAGACUGCGUCUUACUUUUGGGCGCAGUCUUCUUAUCGGGAUCUGCGGUUUCUAACCGUACGAAAUUUAGCAAUAACAGGUCUGUGAUGCCCUUAGAUGUCCGGGGCUACACGCGCGCCACAAUGGACUGUUCAGUCCGUUGUGCCCAUGCUCGACAGAGCUUGGUAAGCGUGUCAAAUCAGUCCGUAUUUGGGCUCGGAGAUUGCAAUUAUUCUCCUUAAACAAGGAACUUCAAGUAAGUGUGAGUCAUCAGCUCACGCUG